rnacentral:tRNA from 1 species
ACCCGCAUGGCGAAAUGGAUUAACGCGUCGGUCUCCUAAACCGAAGAUUCCGGGUUCGAGUCCCGGUGUGGGUA